GUUCAUCCAUGCCCCAAGGUGACACAGCAAACUGAACCAAGCUCAACCUGACGAGAAGUGAAUGGACCUCCAUUUGACUGAAUGUUGGUAUGAGUGAGACAUCAUACAGCGUCAGCAGGGGCUUCAACUGUCAAAGUAUUUUGGGGCCAAGUGGAAUGGGAAGCAGACUCAGUCCAAGGCCGGACACUUCCAGGUAGUGAAGAGGAGUGAGAGUCAAAAAGAAAGCGGAGAGGCUGUUGAGAGAAUGGUUUUGGGAAUGAGGGCAGUCCAUUCUCAUCAAGACGUGUAAUAAUAGCAACCUGAUCUGACUGGUGGUCACAUGCUGGGGCCUUUCCCUUAGCUGCGGACGCUACUUGACAUGCUUGUGUCUGUGCUGGACAAGAGGGACCUGCAUAAUGGUUGUAUCUAAUUUUGAAACACAUGAAGCAAAAGAUGUUGGAAUUGGUGAGGUACAAGAGUUCUGGGUUUAUCAUUAUGAUCUCUGGCCAUUAUGUUUGCAUCUCAAGAACUGCUGGGCUGUAACCAAAAUAAGUUCACUGAAGGGGAAGGGUUUGAUUGGAAACUUUUAUUGCUUAUGCAAAUAACUGCUGAAUAUUUGAAAACCCCCAGAUUUGGUCACAUUGUUGUGAUACUAAAGCUGAAGGCAUCUGGGAUUAGUUUAUUACCUAACCUGGAGAAAUAGUAAAAAUAAGACUUAAAGGUAUAAGCUUUGUUGUGAAAUACUGCCCUAUUACCUCUAUCCAUAUGGCAUCAUAAAUGCUAAAGCUGGCUGGAGGUUGAAGAAAACAAAUGGAUGGAUGGAUGGCCAGUUCAAAAGAUGUAUGUGUGUCUGUUUGGAUAAAUAGAGGGAUAGUAAAAUGGAAGGGUAGUUGGAUUAAUGGUUAAUGUAGUUAAUGGAUAAAUAGAUGGUAAAAUGAUAGAUAUAUUGAUCAUUCAUCGAUAGAUAAAUGAAUGGAUGGAUGGAUUGAUAGGUGGAUGGAUGAACAAGUGGAUAAAAAUUGAUGGAUAAGUUAAACAAGGGGAAAGGAUUGGUGGUUAGAUAAAUUGGAAAUAGAUGGGUAGUUGGGCAGAUGGAUGGGCAGAUGGAGAGAUGAUGGAUGGAUAAAAGGAAAGAGGCAAGAUGGACGGAAAGAUGGAUUUUAGAUUAAUAAUUUAACAAAGAAUGGAGGGUUGACAAAGGAAGAAAGAAAGGAUGGAUGGAUGAAGGAGGAAUAGAAUGAUGAAUGGAUACUAGAUAGAUAUUUGAAGGAAGGAAAGAUGAAUGGAUGAAGACGGGAAGGAAGGAGGAAUGUCUGGAUUAGGGAAGGAAAGGUGGAUAGAUGGGCUCAUGAGUGGAUAGAUAAGUCAAGAAAGGAUGGAUGCUGAAGGUAGGGUGUAUUGAUGGAAUAUGAGGUUGACAAAUUUAACAUUUGAAUCGUUCAAGCUGGAGUUGUAGUGGCCUUUAUAUUUUCAUAUCCAACAUACUUGACAAAUACACUGGGACACGUGAUCAGAGACUUUGUAGCCUUUUUUGAAAUACCAUCUGGACAAAGUAAUCUUGGCCUGCUUCAAUAUGAGGUGACAUUUUAGUAAGAGCACCCAAAGUAGAGUUCAAGGCAUGGCAGGGAUGAUAGUGAAAUGUUGGGGAGUGUUCACGAGGUGAUCCACCCCCCCAGACAACAGCUGAGCUCUAACCCCAGACAGAAAUAGGGCAGUCGCUUUUACUCAGAGAGGGGCUGUACAGCUGGAGCAUCACUACACUCUGUUCUGUCAAUCUCUGGCCAUUAUGCUGUCAUGAUAACAACUGCAGUAAAAUUGUGCUAACUUCUUUAAACAUACUGUAUGCUGACAGGCUUAUGUCAGGUAUGAGCGAAUGAACAGUGAGCAUAAGUUUUGGAUGUAUGCUUCUUUAAGGCCGGAUGAGUUGUGACAGCUUUAAUAAGCCAAGGCUAUUUGAGUGACCUUGUUUCCUGGAGAAAAGAGGCUAAUAAUAGGCCAAAAUCUGGAGCUGCGGUGAAGCCUGUAAUGGUUUAGUGCAAAAAGCUAAGAUGAAUCAUCCCAUCUAGGCAAGCAAUGGAAAAAAAGAGCAUACAUUUUUUGCUGUCACAAGUAAAUACUGAGCUCUGGACAGAUAAGAUGAGUCUGUUUUAUGUCUUUACACCAAUGAGCAAGAUUGUUGGUUGAAUGAAAUGACAGACUUUAACCAGACUUUAAGUGUAUUAAAGGGUAGGUCCUCAAGUCUUUAAAUGUGCAUCAAAAUCCACUAGGCCAUAUGUCUAAUAUUUACAAGACAGUUUUUGGUCACUGACAGUGUUCCUUUUUCUGUACUGGGUAUAGGUAUGAUCUUUUCUGUCAGUAUCUUUAAAAACAAUACAAUUAAAAUCUUUCAUGUUAUACACAAAUUAAGAAUGCUAACAGAAGCAAAUGUUUUUGGCACAGUGUCAACAGGCAAAGGUGAAAUAUGCCGGACUCCUACCAGCAAAUUCAGUCGAUUUUAUAUGAAAUUUUACACACAGAAGGACAUACUCCUUGAUAAGUUGUUUAAAAAAAUGAUGUCAUCCGGGUGCGCAGAUGGCCAAGCGGGUUAGCGCGCCCUAUGUUCCGGGACCACAGUCCCAGCAGCGGUCAUGGGUUUUGAGUCUGGUCCUUACCAUGAGCUGCAUGUCCUUCCCCCUCUCUCUCUAUCUCCCUACAUUUCACUCUGUCCUAUCAAUAAAAAGGCAAAAAUCAACCCCCCCCCCCAAAAAAAAAAAAAGAAAAAUCUUAAAGCCGACACUAUGGUAGCCCAUGUCCAUCAGUUCAAAAAGACAUGGAAACUUGGCCUUGAUACAAAAAAAAAAAAAGUCAUAGUUAUGAGAUAAAAAGAUGAAAUAAUGACAAAGUAAGUCAUAGUUAGGUGUUCAGUUUCGAAAUUCAAAGGUAUGAGAUAAACAGUCAAAAAAGCAUGAUUGAAUCAUAAUUAUGGGACAGAAAGUCAUAAUGAUGAGAUAAAAUGUAAACAUGUUGAUGUAAAAGUCAUAACUUUGAGAUAUCAUGUCACAGUUAUGAUAAAAACCUGAAAUCACAAGAUAAAAAGUCAUUGAUCCAAUAACUUUGUAAUUCUAUCUUUAUUUUACUAUUUCAUAUUUAUUCAUCACUCCAACUUUUGAAUCUCAGUUAUUAAAUUUCUUCUUGGUAUGACUUUUUAUCUCAAAAUUACAACUAGCCUGUAUUAGGUCCUAUCAGGUUUAAAUACCACUCGCACAUUGUGAACUGAACUUAACCUCAAGGAUGAUCAGCGGGGUACAAACCCAGUGGGUGCAUUCUCUGGGGUCAAAGGUCACAGACCAUCUCAUUUGUCAUGAACUGCACUUCAAGGCCCUUACCUUCACAUAAAGACAGGUUCUUUGUACUUUGCUCAUCUCCCACGACCUCAGUAAUCCCAAAAUAUAAUGAAAGUUACACUGGGCAGAUUGUUUCACAUGAGCACCAUCUCUCCCACUCAAGUUUUUAAAUCCAGGGGUCAAAAUGUUAAACCAGAGAUGUCUUUGAGUGCAUAUAUUAGCUUUAAGAAGUACAUUUGAAAAGCCAUUAAAAGCUAUUUAGUCAAAGCUGUCUCUUUAUCAGGCAAAUCAAGUCCAUCCCAGACCUGAUUUACUGAAACAGAAAUGAUGUCCGCUAUUAAAAUCCAGAUUUAACUCUCUUCUAUUAUGCAGAAAUGACUUUCUGUUGAGCUCCAUCCACACACUUCACAAAGGAAGCCCUCAAGCAGAAGCUUAAAAAUAGAUAAGUGUUACUUGUGCUGCUCUCCCACUUGCAGUGAAGCCACCCACAUAUGAUUAUUACCCUUUCUGCAGCCAGCUGACAGAAUUAUCAGCACUAACAUUGCAGCAGAAAGCUUGCAGGCAAGGUUAUGUUAACAAAGCACGCAAUACAUUGGGACAAUUAAGUACUUCUAAAAGGGGCAAAACAUCAGGAAGUGCAGUUUUAGAGCAGGACUGUGUGUCAAACUGGGUGUUAUGUACGAUGGACAGUUAUGUAACACCAAAGUGAUGUGUAUUUUUGCAAGCUAACACCUCAACCACACUUUUUUUAGUGGGUGUGAAAAAAGUAGGAAACAGAGCAAAAGGGAAAUAUCUGAAAUCGUCUUUGAGGUAAAACGUGAGUGCAUUGGAAAUUCACAAAAAUUCCCCUCAGCAUUGGAUAUAUGUCAAUGCAAAUAUGUUUUUUCCUUGCUGAGAUGGAGCCUGAUCUGCUCUCUGUGAUGUGCUUUAGCUUUAGAGUGCACAAUGAAUUGGGUCAAGGCAGUUGUAAUCCAGUCAGGCAACAUCAUAUCUAAACAGGAUCAUAUUUCCUGAGUACCCCACCAGAACAUCAUGGUCCCAAUAUACAGGCCUGCUCAUCACACCAGAAGUCUGUAAAAGUAGCCAGGGUGGCAAAGCAUGGUCCAGGGGGCAGACACCCCCUCUAUCUUAAAGGGAUCUUAAAGGCUUCUCCUUUUUGAUAAAGCUCAUAGUUAGAGCUGGUUCAGUCUUGGACCAGUUGUGCUGCUACAGGUUUAGACUGCUGGGGUUAGUAGCACAUUGAGCACCUUCUUCUCCUUCUCUGUCCGUAUGUGUCAUUAACUUUCAAUCAUCGCAUCCUAUAAAAGUCACCAAUCACAGUCUUUUCUGGGAGUCCCUGAGCUCCCUCAUCCCGUAGGCUCCUUCAAUCAACAGCUAUCAAGGCAACAACUAACACUGUUUUUUUUCUACCUGAGCUGGAGACCAGAACCACUGACAGGGUGGGAAUGAUGUGAUGGCAGUGGAAGAAUGAAGGUGUGUUGGUAUUUAGAGAGUCUCCUUUACCCCUCAAAAUGCCUCAAGGGUCUCUUACCCUUUCCCAUGUGCAUGUUUUCAAAUGCAGACAGAAAGUAGCACUGUUCACCUGUCACAUGGGAUCAGCAAACACCAGUGCAAACCAGUUUUGUUCAGAGUUCAAGACUCCUGGUGCCCUGAAGGUAGACUGACUUUCCAGCCUCAUGUCUGGAUUCCUUGAGUAACCCCAGAGCAAACUGUAAGGACACCCUAGACUCAGUUGGAUGAUAUAGACAGUCUAGAAAUCUAUCAUCUCUUCGUCUCAUCGUAGUAAUUUUUAAAAAUAUCAAACUGUUUCUAAAAAUCAUCAAAUGGACUUUGUGUUUUUUGUGAAGUUAACUAAAUGAUCAAUACCUUAAGCUAAAAUUGGAAAAUUUCGACAAACUUAUGGAAAAAUACACAAUCAAGUUCAGGAAAAAAGUCUGGUGACCUGUCCCUGUUCCAGCUAAAAGAAGUCCAGUUUGACAGAUGAAUAAACACAAACAAACAUGACGAGAAGAACGUCCAGGAAGUGUAACCAAAGAUAAACAAUCAGAUCUAUUUUGAAACCCCGCUUGACAUCACUAUAACAACCUCCAGUGGCGGCUUGGCUCUAAAAAUAGCGAAGAUGUCAAAGCUCUGGUACAUAUAUGUCCAUGAAGUGUGGAGAACAUUCCCCAGAUAACGGCAGAUGGUUCAGAGAUUGUAACCUGGAGAAGAAACGAAUAAAAUCUCACCCUCACACGCUCGUUGCCUCUCUCUUGGAAGCUUACCUGGGAAACGCCAACAUAAAAGCUCCAAACUGUUUUUUUUUUUUGGGAGGUUAAAGGGUGCAAAGAGAUCUGCUUUGGCCCUAGUGUGGACUUGAAGUGGUUCUUGACCUCUAACACAGAGGCUGUGAUGGAAAAAGUUAGUCAGGCUUUAAAGAGAGAAGCCAGCAACUGCGUGUGAAGACGUUUGCUAUUUGACUUGUUUUGCACAGUCGGAUUUGUCAUAAUAAUAAGGAAGUAACAGACCCAGACGAUGUGUGUAGAGCGUUUGAGUAAAAAGGUUUCACUCUUAGCAAAACACAACUUGCAAAAGAGAACUUCUGCAUAACUUGUAGCUGCCGUGAUAUUGCAUUUCCUCCUCGUUUCUGCUUUUGCUUUGCACAUAAACGGAAGUUUGCGACAGUUCUGCAAUUAUUGUAACGCUCUUCAACAAGAAACCAAAAGUCUACUUGAGAGAGUCAGUGGGUACAAAAAGGCAGAAUAAUCCCCAAUCCGGGAAAUCCUAUCUUUCAUAACAAGCCUUUCCAACUUUUGAUGGAUGGAGGCCUUAUUUCAGCUCAAUGAAGUCAUCAGUGUCGUGUGUUUCUCUGAUGUGCAUGAUGAGUUUGGCCAAAGACUGGCUCUGCUCCUGCUGCCCGGGCUUCUCUACACUGAUGGGAGGGAGGGAAAAAAGCAUAAGGGGGGGCCAAAAGGAAAGAGUCCACGACAUCAUCUCUCCAGGCCUUUUAAGGAGCUCUCCAGUGGAGGGCUGAGAGCGCUGGCCCACUUUCCCAUCAGAGCUUCCCAGCCUUGUCUCUUCUCCCCUUGGGAGCCUCGAACACAGAGUGACUGAGCAUAGACACAGCAGGAAACACAAUAUAGAUAUAAUAUACUUUUAAAACAGACCAAAAAUACUCUUUUCAAUGACUUAACAUGCUAGAGGGCUGUGGAGCCAACCCACACGCAACACAUGACAGCAACUUGACAUGAUGGUCAUUUUUCAUGUUCACUUGUUUAAAAUACACCACAAGUCAUAACGUGUACUUAUCAGGCAGUCAAGGCCACACUUCAUCAUCUUCUGGACGUUUUAAUUCGUGUGCAGGCACAAGCAAAGACAAGCAAUGAAGUGAGGCGAUGCUUCUUCAUUACAUUCAUCAUCAUUGUACUCCCAGAUGUUGUCAAAGGCCUUAGCAAGCUGGAGCUCUGUGUUCCAGAGUGGAUCUGAUAGAAACUCUGCGAGGAAUAAAGAGGGCUUUACUGUAGCUGUGACCUUCUCUGGCUUUAUCUCUGUCGAAGUCAGCCAGACCCCACAUGGCCUCGCUCUCACCCCACUGCCACUGCCUCCUGACCAGAUUCGACCCACGCACACUCGCACAGCAAGGGUGAGUAGGGGGGAGAAGGAGAGCGAAUAAGAAGGAGGGUGAUGGAGCAGAUUGUGUGGGUGAGCUGAGUUUGUGUGUGUGUGUGUAUGAGUGAGUGAGAUUGAUGGAGGGGAAGUACCCGUGCAUGUGUGACAGCGCAUGCAGACUAAUGGCGAAUGAAAGGCUGUUGUGUUGGCAAGUUCGGCCCUGCUCUGCUGCCAGAUCAGCUCCGAAUUUAACAUUUCAAGUGCAGUUUUGAGCUCCCUCAGCCUCCCAAAAGACAAAGAGUCUUGAUGAAACAUAUGAGUCAGCUGGAUGGAGCAGUUUUGUUUUCUUGAACCAAAUGUGAUGGUGUGUCACAACUCACUUAGCUUAACUAAUGGCACCAAUAUUGAAUUUUUCGGUGUCAUUUCUUAUUAGUUUCAAUUCUGAAUAGUUAACGUAAGCAAAUAGUUUUAAAAAUUGGACUUUCUUCCCUCUGUUUAAAAAAAUCCCAUUUUUUUUCCAAAACUAGCUUACAUGUUGAAAAUGCUUACAUAUGUACAGUAUACCAGGCCAGUCUGUGGCAAUAGCGUGUCAUCAGCGUGUUACUUAAAACAACAUACGGCACAUGUGUAUGGAGCUUCAUCUUGAGUGAUCUGCAUUAGGAAACUGUUCUUUCUUCUGUUUAUGAGGGACUGAGUUCAAAAGUGUUGAUUAGAUGAUUAGAGUAUAACAAUGAAGGAUAGAGGAGUUUCCUUUCAAACAUUCACUCAAACCUAAAAAGUAGCCAGCAGACCUAAACAAACCAGUGGCUGCCAUCUUAGUGCAAGGGGCAAAACCAUAGACUGUAUAUACUAUGGACAACUUGGUUCCGCCUUCCGCCAGUAUAUGGAUUUGGAGCUGAAAAGCUCUCAGUAAUUCCGUGUUUUCUCUCCAUUUCCUGAAACCUAAAUUGCGCAGUAGCGUUGUACGCACUUCACCACUUGCGCAGUAGCAUUGUACGCAUUUGGCAGGAGAGUC